GAAAGCUGUACUCGAGGAUCUCAAAAGUGCCUUCCAAGUCAAAAUGUUGUAGAAUCUUGGAACCUCUUUUGACGGAGUCGGAGUCACAAUGGAAUCAAGCAAAGAAAGAAUGCAGAACGCUGAGGCCAUCACACAGACCCUCAUUUCUCAACUGCGAGCCAUGCAGAAGAAGCUGCCUGGCCUCACUCCUGCUCAGCGUCCUCUUCAUCGCACUCCUCCUGCCCCCUCCCUGCCCGCUGUCCUGCCUCUUGUCCCUGUGACUUCCCUGCCUCUCCAGCCUAUGCCUGCCUCGGUCACCAGUUACUCAGACCAACCUGGUUCUCUUCCUACCUCAUGCCCAGACCACCUGCCUCCUCUUAUGGGUUUUACCCCUUCCCAGUUCCCUGCCUGGGGCCCUUCCACCCUUGCCUGCCCCCCUGCUCCUCCCACCACCCGCCUCCCCCCCCCUCUCACCUGCAUCCGCCGCCCCUUCCGACUGGCCCCCCUCUCCUCCCACCCCUCUCCCUUUACCCCUGCCCCUCCUCCUCACCCUACUUCUUCCCCCACCUUCAUGGGCCUUGGGCCCAGAUAGGCCUCCCCUGCUCCUGCUAGGACAUCUGCCCCCAACCAGCCCUCACCAGGCCUGACGAUUCCCACACUCCAUCAUGGAAGCCUCGCGUCCCUCCCAGAACUCCUGGGAAGGUGAUGUCCAGCAUCCUGGUGACAUGGUGAACACGGGGGGCACUGGAUGAUGACCAGCAGGCACACAACCAGGAGGGGCACUUCCCUCAGUAUUACUAAUUACGGUAGUUGCUGCUCUACGCCAGUCCAUAAUGCCUCACACUUUCAGAAGCUGUUGGGAUCUUUGGUGUGACAGUUAUCAGUUUGUUGCCUCUCAACUCCAAAUCUACCCUUCAUUACCUGCUCCGCAGUAGUAAGAUAGCUCUUUGAAGCAUUUCUCACUUGCAUCGAGAGCAAUAUUGAGCCAUGGCAGUAGAUGGCGCUGGAGGGACGCGGCAGGAGGAAGAAACUUCCCUUCCGGGGCCCAGCGGGCUUCUGUUUGCUUCAUUCAGCUCCUCUGCACCUGCUACCAGAGAUGAACGCAUGGGCACAUCCUCUGCUCUGCCCCAGCUAUGCAUCCAGAUGUGGGCUCACGGCCUCAGGCCUAGCCCAGUGCCCACUUCACUACGGCCCACUUCAUGGACUCUGCAAACCUCAGGCCUCACAUGCCCUGCUGGAGAACAGACCACCGACUCCCCUGGGCACCAGCCUGCCGGCCUCAGCCCACCGGCUCCCGGCGGGAGUGUUUCCAGGGGCCAUCCAGACACGGGCACAAGCACCCCAGGCCUUCACCACUCUGCCUGUAAGUAGGUUCCUGACUUGGACUCUCCCAGGGCACUCCCCGCCAGCCUCUGCCAUCAGCAACCCAGAGGGACAUUUGAUGCUGACCUGGAGACCAUCGGCCAGGCCUUGCACAUUUUUCAACAAGGUGUGAAUCCCAGCUUGAAGGAGAGGACCCUCUUCCCAUCUGUUCCCUCCUUGGAUACUCUCCUGCCUUAGAAGGUUCUGUACAGUUCUCUUAGGGUUACUCCACUGCUAAGGUAAUAAUUUUUACGAUUAAAUUUUCCAUAUUCAAAUUAC